rnacentral:rRNA from 1 species
CUGGCUCAGGAUGAACGCUAGCGGCAGGCUUAACACAUGCAAGUCGAGGGGCAGCGCGGGUAGCAAUACCUGGCGGCGACCGGCGAAAGGGUGAGUAACGCGUGAGCAACAUGCCCGAUACUGGGGGAUAGUCGAUGGAAACGUCGCGUAAUACCCCGUAACACAUUUCUCUCGCAUGGGGGGAUGUUGAAAGAUUGAUUGGUAUCGGAUUGGCUCGCGUGCCAUUAGGUAGACGGCGGGGUAACGGCCCACCGUGCCGACGAUGGCUAGGGGUUCUGAGAGGAAGGUCCCCCACAUUGGAACUGAGACACGGUCCAGACUCCUACGGGAGGCAGCAGUGAGGAAUAUUGGACAAUGGCCGGAAGGCUGAUCCAGCCAUGCCGCGUGCGGGAUGACGGCCCCCUAUGGGUUGUAAACCGCUUUUGCGGGAGAGCAAUAAGAGCAACGUGUUGCUCGAUGAGAGUACCCUGCGAAUAAGCAUCGGCUAACUCCGUGCCAGCCGCAGC